rnacentral:tRNA from 2 species
UCCGGUAUAGCUCAGUUGGUCAGAGCACCGUCUUGAUAAGGCGGGGGUCGUUGGUUCGAGCCCAACUACCGGAACCA